ensembl:lncRNA LOC103691109 uncharacterized LOC103691109
CCCCUCCCAUUCUUGGAGACUCUUUCCUGUCGGACUCAGAGGUCUGAGGGAGGCAGGUCAAGUGCUGUGUGGCUAGGACCCAUGGCUAUGAACUUGCAGGAAAAUGUGACCUUGGCCAUGGCCGUGUUAACCAUCCUAGCCUCCAUCUACUUCUUCAACAAGGCUCAGCAGUAAGAAGGCAUGGCUCCCCAGUCCACCAGCUUGGCCCCCGCCUGCUCUGCCAUUGCUCUGGCCUCUAAGAUCCAAUAAAUGUUAACAGCACCAGACCAAGGCUUCCUGCUCCCUAAGCUCUGCUCCCUACAACCCUGUUCCUCAUAGGUCCACACAACCAUGGAUCUCAGCAGGAAGGUGAAAAGUAGAGACCUGGCCCCUAGAUCUGAGGGAGGAGGCUUGGGACCUGUUGCUCCAAAUCUGUGAGAAACUGGGCUCUGGGCCUCUGAGUCUGAGGGAAGAGGCUGGGCCCUGAACAUCUGAGUCUGAGAAAGGAGGCUGGGCCCUGAAUCUCAAAAUCUGUGGGAGGAGGCUGGGCCCUGGACCUCCAAGUCUGUGGGAGGAGGCUGGGCCCUGGAUCUCUAAGUCUUUGGGUGGAGAAUUGGGCUUGGAGUCCUGUGUCUGAGGGAGAAGUGCUGGAGUCUGAACCUCUGGGUCUGAGGGAGGAGUGCUGGAGCUUGGACCCCUGGGUCUGAAGGAGAAGUGGGUCUUGAAGAAUAAGUAGGAACCUUUAGGUCACAUGAGUAUUUAAGGGGCAUUUCAGCUGUGAGUGCCAGGGCACAGAGAAGAAUUUCCAGGGUUUGAUUCUCCAUCUGGCACUAAACAGCUUGCUCAGGAUUUCAGGCUUGUCUCUCUGAGCACUCCUUCCCAGCAAAGGUGCAAAUCUGUUUAAAGGAAGGCCACGCUAAGGACUGCCAGAGAUCAACGGUGUGGGCAGAUGUUGUGACUGUAUGUGGAGAGUCUAAGUGGAUGUAAUUCCUUUCCUGGUUAUCUUAAGAAAUGCUAAUAUUUCUUCCUUUUUUUUCUCUCUUGUCUUAGCAAACUCCUAUUGAACCGUUAUCACCUGCCAUCAAAUCCCUAUCUGAUAGAAGUGUCCAGAACCCCAAAUAGAGGGAAUCUGUUAGCAGCGCACUCCAUCACCUUCCUGCCUCCUCCAACCUUCCCAAGGGAGUGAGUGCCCUGAGGGACAGACACACCUGCCCAAGAAAGUUCAUUUGUAUGCUCUGGGUCUUCUGGACAAGGACUAGAAAUUUCCAAUCACGAACAUAUUCGCAAAUCCUUGUAGUUCAGAUCCGUGCAAUUUUAGUGGGUCACAAGCAAAUUGAGAUCAAGCAGAACUAGCGGUCGUGCUCUCGAUGAGAGCCAGUAACAGCAUCCUUUGUCCUCCAAUGCAAGGAUUCCUUGUGCGCAAAACCAGAAAUAGCCGUAAGGUGGCGAUGUCAGACUAUUUUCCCAGAUUCUAAUUGGCAACAGGGAUUGACUUUGCAGGAGACUGAGCCUCCUGCUGACCUCUCUCCCAGGUAUUUUCCCAAGCCUCCACCCCUUCCUGUAAGUUCUUGGCCUCUCCCUGCACCUCCUUGCCCACAGGGCCCCCACCAGGCUGUAUCCUUAGCCCCGUAACUCAAAAAAAAAAAAAAAAAAAAAAAAAAAAAAACCAAAAAACGGUUGAGCAGCCACACCCCAACGGCUUUUCACCUUCCGUGCCCCAACACACUCCAAGAGGCCUGAGGUGCCUUUGCAACCUCAGUUUUGCGAGUCCUCCUUGGAAAACUUCCGGAGCAUUCCUUCUUGUCUCACCCCCUCCCUUAACUCCCCAGGUGGGCUUGGCUGUCAGCGGUUUUUCAACCACUGAACCAAGUCAACCUUUGCGUCCUCCACAUCCCUCCUUCCCCUAGGGCUUGACCAUUUAUGAGGUUUCUGAGUCCUCAGGGAGCUAUCAACUUGGCAUUUUCUCAACCGCAAUCCAGUGGAGAUGGAUGUGUCUCAAGCCGACGCUGUGUAGAGCCACUGAGGGCUUCGUCAAUUCCCACCACUGAGCUUGGGGUGGGGCGCAGCAUCGAUUCUGCUCUGAAUGUUCCCCAGGGUACUAUGAAUGGGCAGCUGGGGUUCUGAGGCCGCUCCUUACCGGGAGGAAGCUGAGCGCUUCCAAGGGGUAACUCUGCUGCCUGGGAAAUCUUUCAGAGACCUCCACUCAGACAGAGAUGGGACUUUUUUUUAAAUUAUCACUAUGCUUUUUUUUUAGCAAAUAUUUAUUAUGUGCCAGGAUUAUAUUAUGUG